GGAAUUUGUUGUUAAUUUUCUUCUUGUAAAUCCUUUUCUCUUUCUAUCGCUCGUUUUAUGGUGUGUUUUGAGCAACGAGUAGAUAUAAACAUAUUUGAUACUCAAAGCCAUAGACAUAAGCACGUUUGAAACCCGACCUUAGAUAUCAAUUACGUUCAAUUCUACAUUCAAAACAAUGGCGGAUGAGAAGAUUAAGCUAUUGAAAAGCAAACGAUAAAUGUAUAUGAAGUAUACAAAGAAGAAAGCAUUGGAAUCGUCAAAAAGAAAAAAACUCGAGAUUCUGACAAAUCUCCUUGUUUUGGGCCUUCCUGAAUUCGAAAAGUAUAUUUAAAAUAUAUAUAUAUAUAUCUGUCUGUCUGUGAGCAUGAGAAUUCAAAAUCAUUUUGAACUAGAAGAAACUGGUGAUAUUAAAGUAAUUAAUGGACCCACCGAAAACAAAAUAUCAUCAAGCCCACCUUUUAUGCAAAUGGGAUUCGUAGAACCUAAUGACCACAAAGCCAUGGAAAAAAGGUGCAUGUUGUUUUCGCCAGCAAGGACAAAGCGCUGUCUGCGUCAAAGGAUCUUGCAUAACGAGCCAUUUCUGCGUUUCCCGAGUGACGUAACCGAAAUGUAAACAAUCUCCGAACGGCACGUGCCUUACUAUUCGACUUAAUUCCCUUGUCUACAGCAAAGGAACGAAUUUUUUCCUACUAAAUGUAGAUCAACACCAAGGCAACUGGGAGAUAAAAAUUUCAAGUGUUAACACCAGGCUUAUCAGAAAAGAAAAUCUUUUAAUAAAGAUGUAAUAUUUUUCUCGCGGUUUAACAGCUGGAACUAUUUUGUUCCAAAAACAACGUAAUAAAAUGGGAAGUUUUA